AUGGAGGAGAGGCUGUAUGAUGCCGGCGAUGGCUCCGCUGGCAAUCCGAGCGCUGAGGAUGCCGCUGGCAAUCCGAGAGGUGAGGACGUCGCUGCCAACUCGAGAGGCGAGGACGACUUCAGGAGCUGCUGUGGGGACGAGGAGGAGUGGGAGGACACGGAGGAGUCCUUCAUGGCCGGCGUCUCCGAAGCGGAGCUCGACGAGACUUCAGUGCGGCUCUUCUUCAAGGGUGUGUCGAGCUCGGACGUGGAUGGGAAGAAGCUGUCCGGGAUCGGCGUGGUGAUGGAGAGGACACCUGGGGUGCCUCUUCACAGGGUGCAGAAGAAGCUGGAUUUCUAUGUGGAUGAGCUGGUGGCUGAGCACUUGGCACUCAUGGAUGGCCUGUUGGUGGCAUUGCAGAAGGGCAUACGCAAGAUCUUCGCCUUCACUAAUUCAGAGAAGCUAUACUUCCAGAUUGCAGAAGCUGAAAUUCUUGAAGACCAGCUUUUGGUAGCUUUAGGACACAGGAUUCUUGAACUGGUUGAGAAGCUGGAGGAUUUUGAUCUAAUAUUGCUUCCUAGCUUUGAACUUGAGAGGCCAUUGAAGUUGGCCAAAGAAGCAAUAGGCAUCGUGUAUGUAUCUCCCUAUGAGGUUGCCACCUGCCCGCUAUGCUGCGAGGAAAGACGAGGUUCUCAUAUGAUCAAGGUCGGCUGUUCCCACAAAUUUUGCUACAGUUGCUUGAUUGUGUAUGUUGAAGGCAGGCUGCAUGCCUCGAAGCUGCCUAUUAGAUGCCCACAGUUAAGGUGUAAAUAUCAUAUUUCGGCUGGUGAGUGUAAAUCAUUCCUUCCGGUGAGCAGCUAUGAGUCCCUGGAGAGGGCUUUCGCGGUGGGCGGCAGCACCUAUGACAUGGAGGGGUUCUAUUGCCCCUAUCCAAACUGUUCGGUUUCGUUAGACCUCAGUCAGCACUUCUCCAGGGCAGGCUCGUCCAGUCAGUCGGACCUCAAUUGCAUCGAGUGCCCGGAAUGCCACAGAGAUAUCUGUAUCAACUGUGGAGUGCCAUGGCACAUCAUGAUGGGGUGUGAUGAGUACCAGAGCCUGCCUGUCGAGGAAGGAGGUGCAGGGGACCUAUCUUUGCAUCGGCUAGCACAAAACAAUAGUUGGAGGCGAUGUCAGAGAUGUCGACGGAUGAUUGAACUAACGCAGGGCUGCUUCCACAUGACUUGCUGGUGUGGCCAUGAGUUCUGCUACUCCUGUGGCGCCGAGUACAACAACGGCGUACAGGCAUGCCAGUGCGUAUUCUGGGACGAAGACAACGCUGAGCCCUCGGCGGCGCAGUCCUGCCAGGCAUCUGAGAUCUGGGCGUGGGACACCUUCGACUGCAUGCCCACGGCCGCCGACGGCUACUCGGAGCAGGAGCGGGCGCAGCUGGCGCUCAUCCAGCGGUUCCUGGCGGGGGGUUUCAGCCUGAGCGGCGACCACCACCACCUGAGCCAGCAGUCGUCGCCGCCCCGCUGCGCGGCAGACUCGUACAUCGUCGACACCAUGAAGGACCUCCACCAGCUGCCGUGGCUCGAGCGGUUCGUGUCGGUGAUGAGCGACACCUACAACGACGACUACAUCCAAUGA
rnacentral:rRNA from 1 species